rnacentral:rRNA from 1 species
UACCAUGCAGUCGACGAUGAUGCCCAGCUUGCUGGGUGGAUUAGUGGCGAACGGGUGAGUAACACGGGGGUGAUCUGCCCUGCACUUCGGGAUAAGCCUGGGAAACUGGGUCUAAUACCGGAUACGACCUCGGGAUGCAUGUCCUGGGGUUGAAAGGUUUACUGGUGCAGGAUGAGCCCGCGGCCUAUCAGCUUGUUGGUGGGGUAAUGGCCUACCAAGGCGACGACGGGUAGCCGGCCUGAGAGGGCGACCGGCCACACUGGGACUGAGACACGGCCCAGACUCCUACGGGAGGCAGCAGUGGGGAAUAUUGCACAAUGGGCGAAAGCCUGAUGCAGCGACGCCGCGUGAGGGAUGACGGCCUUCGGGUUGUAAACCUCUUUCAGCAGGGACGAAGCGCAAGUGACUGUACCUGCAGAAGAAGCACCGGCUAACUACGUGCCA